UACGUAGGGGGCAAGCGUUGUUCGGAAUUACUGGGCGUAAAGGGCGCGUAGGCGGCCACGCAAGUCGACUGUGAAAUCUCCGGGCUUAACCCGGAAAGGUCAGCCGAUACUGCGGGGCUAGAGUGCAGAAGGGGCAACUGGAAUUCUCGGUGUAGCGGUGAAAUGCGUAGAUAUCGAGAGGAACACCUGCGGCGAAGGCGGGUUGCUGGGCUGACACUGACGCUGAUGCGCGAAAGCUAGGGGAGCGAACGGG
rnacentral:rRNA from 1 species